CCUACGGGUGGUAGCAGUGAGGAAUAUUGGUCAAUGAGCGCGAGCCUGAACCAGCCAAGUAGCGUGAAGGAUGACUGCCCUACGGGUUGUAAACUUCUUUUAUAAAGGAAUAAAGUGAGGCACGUGUGCCAUUAUGUAUGUACUUUAUGAAUAAGGAUCGGCAAACUCAGUCCCAGCAGCCGCGGUAAUACGGAUGAUCCGAGCGUUAUCCGGAGUUAUUUGGUUUAAAGGGAGCGUAGAUGGGUUGUUCAGUCAGUUGUGAAAGUUUGCGGCUUCACCGUAAAAUUGCAAUUGAUACUGGCAGUCUUGAGUACAGUUGAGGUAGACGGAAUUCGUGGUGUAGCGGUGAAAUGCUUAGAUAUCACGAAGAACUCCGAUUGCGAAGGCAGCUUACUAAACUUCCACUGACAUUGAUGCUCGAAAGUGUGGGUAUCAAACAGGAUUAGAUACCCCUGUAGUC
rnacentral:rRNA from 1 species